rnacentral:tRNA from 1 species
ACCAAUGAAACAUUUAUUAAUGUAUUAAUUUUAGGGAUUAAAGAAAGGGUUAAUCCUCUUUGGUA